rnacentral:rRNA from 1 species
UACGAAGGGGGCUAGCGUUGCUCGGAAUCACUGGGCGUAAAGGGCGCGUAGGCGGCCAUUCAAGUCGGAGGUGAAAGCCCAGGGCUCAACCCUGGAAUUGCCUUCGAUACUGGUUUGGCUAGAGACCGGAAGAGGUAAGUGGAACUGCGAGUGUAGAGGUGAAAUUCGUAGAUAUUCGCAAGAACACCAGUGGCGAAGGCGGACUUACUGGUCCGGUUCUGACGCUGAGGCGCGAAAGCGUGGGGAGCAACAGG